rnacentral:misc_RNA from 1 species
GUAUUUGUUAUAAAUGUGUUACAUUCAAGACUUUAAAAGUGUGUAAAAUACAGCGGGAGUCACCUCCCACCGAAGUGUGCACAGGUGUGUGGACGGCGUGCGGCCCGAAGGCGCACAGCCGAAAGUGUAUCGACUCGCGUCGAAAUUCACUAAUGAUCCUUCCGCAGGUUCACCUACGGAAA